GAUGAACGCUGGCGGCGUGCUUAAUACAUGCAAGUCGAACGGAAUGCUAGAAAUAGUAUUUAGUGGCGAACGGGUGAGUAACGCGUUGGUGACCUGCCCCGAAGUGGGGAAUAACAGUUCGAAAGGACUGCUAAUACCGCAUGAACUCUCUGAGGCCAGAGGCUUGGAGAGAAAAGGAGAAAUCCGCUUUGGGAGGGGCCUGCGUCCCAUCAGCUAGUUGGUAGGGUAAAAGCCUACCAAGGCGACGACGGGUAGGGGACCUGAGAGGGUGGCCCCCCACACUGGCACUGAAACACGGGCCAGACACCUACGGGUGGCAG
rnacentral:rRNA from 1 species